GGUCUACUCCCUCCGUUCGGAAUUACUUGUCUCGGAAAUGGAUGUAUCUAGAACUAAAAUACAUCUAGAUACAUCCAUUUCUACGACAAGUAAUUCCGAACGGAGGGAGUAUGAG
rnacentral:pre_miRNA from 1 species